GUCACCUUCAAAGUCUUCAAAUACUUUUUGCCCCUGGCUUGCAGCAGGCAACACAGCGCGGCUUAGAGGGAAUUAGAAAAAAAAUUAAACAAUAAACCAACUGAAAAAAGUCAACCUGUCAUGUCUGGUUUCUUGUUCAAAGCCAGACGUUAAUCUAUGCUAAGCAUCAACUGCCAAAACUGGAUCUAAGUGUUUAGAGUUAGGCUGAGCUUCUGUAUUUUUUCCUGCCAUUUCCAAAUGAGGAUAACGCUCACACUGCCUGUAGCAUCCACACAUGAAGCCCGAUGCUGGGCGCUUUCACACAGAACAGUUUCAGUGCCUCCACACCCAGGAAAUCCUCCAUUUCCUGGAUGCACGAACCCUACUACUUAAAUGCGGCCCAUGCAACAGACAGCACAAACCUCCUCACAAGUGCAGGAUGCAGUGUAUGCCGUGUCCCCACUUGGCAUUUACAAGACAUGGGUGCAGAAGGUAACCUGCAGUGCUUCAUCCAGCUGCACUUCUCCCCAGAAAACAGGGCACAAAAUCAUGGGCACAGUUCCCCAGCCACUACGAGGACACUGUGGUAUUCCAUAAGAAAGCCUCCUUCAGUUGUUCCCAGCACUUGGUCACGGACUCAGACAGGCUACCAGAGACCACAGGCAGCUGCCACCACGCUCCAACAGCCUGCGGCAGAGGUAAGCACCCUUCAUUUGAUCUUUUAACCCUCACAGCAAGGCACUGUAGCUGCAGUUUUAUACAUAAACCCCUCUAUUCAAAUUAACAGCCAGUUUUAAAUUUUCACUAAAAGUAGGGAAAAAUUGGGCAAAUCUGCUCUGAGUCACUUACACAGUGCUGUAUUUUAAGGGACAGCUGAGGUGGGUUUUUUUUUAUUAUUUAUUAUUAUUAUUAAUUUUUUUUUUUACAUGCUAGUGAGACGCUAACUAUCCCUGGGCAUUAUUGUCAUAGUAGCAGUGAGAAACUUUCAUCAUCUUCCUUCAACCUUUAUUCCUCCUCUUAAUCUAUUUGGUUUGUUUCGUUUCAAAUACAAAAUCCACAUAGAGUAACUCAGUUUCACAGAGGCACUGCCCAACCGUGUGCCUCUGCCCCACAAAGGCAAAGCUCCUCCGUCACUGAGCUCACAGAGGAAUGCUUUGCUGAUGUGACACCGAGCGAUAAAAACUUUGGCUGCUGUAUGAUAAAGUACCAUCCUUCAUUGCAAAUGUUAACUGGUUCAUAGCAGCGCUAGAACUGGCAUUGUAUCAUAUUAUUUGACACUUAAACAAUUGUAUUCAUACAACAUUACAGCUGUGAAUUCCUUUGAAAGGUUUCUUUUUUCUUUCUGGUCACUGUAACUGCCAAACUAGAAUACUUCUAGUAACAAGAAAAAGGUAACCAGGAUUUGUAACAUUGCAAAAUUAAUUUCUAAUGCAGAAAGUAGUCCAUUUAAUCCUAACUGAGGGAAGAGUGCAUACACUGUACAACAAAAAUACAGCUUUAGCAAGCAACAAGGAGCACAUCUCAAGCAGGAACACGCCACAAAGGAUAUUUAUAUUUAAACAAACAAGCAAACCAAGAACCCAACAUAUAUGAAUAUUGCUAGAAAGAAUAAGAUUUAUUCUCAACAAAUUUCUCCUUAGAGCUGCUGUUCUGCCCUCCACUGAUGCCCACUUUACUACUUGGGUAUUCAAGUUCAAGUUAUGGUUUAGGAAAGGGACAAACUGAUGUUGUGAGGCACCUGGCUCCUUUUCCUUUGACUGGUAGGCACCAGGUAAGCACACCCAAGAGCAGCUGGCUUUGUGCUCAGCACCCUGUGCUGGCUCAUGAAGGCUGGAUGCUCUGUAGCCCUGAAGCCAGGCAGCUUCUUAGGAAGCACUUUAGGAGCUGUUCUCAGCAGGUAGAAGCAGCAUUCAGACUCAUGCCACCUUCAAAGCCAACACCUAUGACAAGGAGGAAUGUUCUGAAAAACAAUUUUUAGCACUGAGGUCACUUAAAAUGUGUUUCCAAAUGGAAAAAAAAAGUUUGCAUAUUCCUAUCCAACAGCAACAACUGAAUUGGUAUUUCCAGAGAUUCUGAUUUACGUCUACUUAAAAAAAAAUGGUAUUAAAUUUCUCAUCCUUCAAGAAGGUUAAGGAUGUAGCAUCUUCAUUGUGCAGCACAAAACUAACACUGAUUCAUAAUCAGACACCAUAAAGGUUCAUAUCACCAUAAAGGUGAUUCCGAUUGAAUUUUUCGGCAAACAAGAAUGUCUGAGAUAUACCUACGUGGGAAGAAACAUACUUUUUACACACUGUAGCACUAACUUGAAUUAGCAGUAGAAAAGCAUCCUAACUAAGAAACCAAACCCUGCAGGAAAGUUAUGUCAUGUUCUGUAGAUUAUGAGAUAGAUACUUUAGAACUAGAAGAUUGCUUUUGCUUUCCAGAGAUCAAUACGUGGUUUAUGAGGAUUUUCCUGGUAUUGAGUUACUUCUCAGGACCUUACUUAUCUACUGUUUUCUCUUUUCAAUCCAUGCCACAUUACUGCUGCUAAAAACGUUAAAAUAAGAAAUAACUUUCAGAAUGCCCAUCCACUUUCAUGUUUUUAUAUGUUAGAUGCAAUUCAGUUCACAUUCACUCACCGUGGUUCACAUUGCACCUAUCCUAUUUAUUAAUAAGUAACAUCAGAAUCACCAGAACCUAAAGCCUAACUUGAAACUACAAGGUGUUAAAUCCUCAGAAUAUACAGUAGAGAAAGGAGCCAUCUCCCAGUAGGAGCUUUUCUGUAAAAAAAAAAAA